rnacentral:tRNA from 1 species
UAUGUUGUGCCAGAUAAAUUGGAUUGUCUUGAUGGGGCAAAAUAUGAAGUUUUUUCCAACAUAA